rnacentral:rRNA from 1 species
UAAGGGAGGCAGCARUAGGGAAUAUUGGACAAUGGGGGCAACCAUGAUCCAGCAAUGCUGCGUGAGUGAUGAAGGCMUUAGGGUUGUAAAGCUCUUUUACCCGAGAUGAUAAUGACAGUACUGGGAGAAUAAGCUCCG